CCUACGUGCGUCAGCAGUAUUUAAUUUUCGGCAAUUGUUGUAACCCUUACCGAGCAACGCCGCGUGAACGAAGAAGUUAUUCGUAAUGUAAAGUUCUUUUAACAGGGAAGAAAGAGAAAUUUGACGGUACCUGAAGAAUAAGCUCCGGCUAACUACGUGCCAGCAGCCGCGGUAAUACGUAGGGAGCGAGCGUUAUCCGGAAUUAUUGGGCGUAAAGGGUGCGUAGAUGGCAUAGUAAGUCUUUUGUAAAAAUGCUGGGCUCAACCCAGUAGGGCAAAAGAUACUGCAAAGCUAGAGUAUGACAGAGGCAAGUGGAACUACAUGUGUAGCGGUAAAAGGCGUAAAUAUAUGUAAGAAAACCAGUGGCGAAGGCGGCUUGCUGGGUCGAUACUGACAUUGAGGCACGAAAGCGUGGGGAGCAAACAGGAUUAGAUACCCCUGUAGUC
rnacentral:rRNA from 1 species